rnacentral:rRNA from 1 species
UACGAAGGGGGCUAGCGUUGCUCGGAAUCACUGGGCGUAAAGGGUGCGUAGGCGGGUCUUUAAGUCAGGGGUGAAAUCCUGGAGCUCAACUCCAGAACUGCCUUUGAUACUGGCGAUCUCGAGUCCGGGAGAGGUGAGUGGAACUGCGAGUGUAGAGGUGAAAUUCGUAGAUAUUCGCAAGAACACCAGUGGCGAAGGCGGCUCACUGGCCCGGUACUGACGCUGAGGUGCGAAAGCGUGGGAGCGAACAGG